rnacentral:rRNA from 1 species
GGGGGAAAAUUUAAUAGUUUAAAAAUAUAAAAAAUAAUUUUAAUAUAAAAUAUUUAAUGGGGGUUAAAGUAUAUUUAUAGAAAAAAUUAAAAAAUUUAUAGUGAAUUAGUAUUGUGAAAUAAAAUUGAAAAUAUUGAAAUAAAAAUUUAUAUAAAAGUAAAUUUCAUUUAUUGUAUCUUGUGUAUCAGAGUUUAUUAAAAAGAUAAUUUAGUUAAAUUUAUUUCGAAUUUCAAAGAGUUAAUUAAUUAAAAAAGUUAAUAUUGCAUAAUUAUUUUUAAUAAUUAAUUGGAAAUGAAAAGUUAAUCGUUUUGAAAUAUAUCUAAUUUUUUUAGAAAAAAAUUUAAUUUUAAAUUAUUUUUUUUUAAUUAAUUUAUUAAUUAAUUAAUUAAAAAAAUAAUUUUAUAUUUUAAGGGAUAAGCUUUAAAUUAAAUUUUUAUAAUAAAAAUAAAAUAAUUGAAAUUUUUAAGAUUUAUAUUUUUUAUAAAUUAUAAUUUUUUAUAAAUAAUUUCAUUUAAUUAAAAUUUUAUUUUAAUUUAAUUUUUUAUAAAAAAAUAUUUUUUAAUAAUAAAAAAUUAGUUAUAAUGAUAAAAUUAGUAUAUAAUUUAAAAUAAAAAAAAAAAUUAUUUAAAUUAAUAAAAAGGAAUUCGGCAAAAAUUUAUAUUCACUUGUUUAUCAAAAACAUGUCUUUUUGAAAAUAAUUUAAAGUCUAAUCUGCCCACUGAAUUAUUUUAAAGGGCUGCAGUAUAUUGACUGUACAAAGGUAGCAUAAUCAAUAGUCUUUUAAUUGAAGACUUGUAUGAAUGAUUUGAUGAGAUAUAAACUGUCUCUUUAUUAAUAAUAGAAUUUAAUUUUUUAGUCAAAAAGCUAAAAUUUUUAUAAAAGACGAGAAGACCCUAUAGAGUUUUAUAUUUUAUUAAAUAUUAAUUUUAUAUAAAAUUUUGAAUUAAUAUUUAAUAAAAUAUUUUGUUGGGGUGAUAGAAAAAUUUAAAAAACUUUUUUUAAAAAUUAUACAUUAAUUAAUGAAAUUUUGAUCCAUAAUUUAUGAUUAAAAGAUUAAAUUACCUUAGGGAUAACAGCGUAAUUUUUUUUUUUAGUUCUUAUAAGAAAAAGAGUUUGCGACCUCGAUGUUGGAUUAAGAUAAAAUUUAAAUGCAAAAGUUUAAAAUUUUGAUCUGUUCGAUCAUUAAAAUCUUACAUGAUCUGAGUUCAAACCGGUGUGAGCCAGGUUGGUUUCUAUCUUUAUAUAAAUGUAAUAAUUUAGUACGAAAGGAUCAAUUAUUAGAAAUAAUUUUUUAUAAAUGAAUGUUAUUAAUUUUUU